CGUCUUUAGAAUAUACCUACACAUGAUAAAUCCUUAUUUAUUAUCAUCAAUAAAUUGAGCAUCCUAGUUAUAUUCAUGAACAAUCACACCUCGUCACUGUGCAUAAGCACGAAAACACCAUCAUUGUGCAUACGCACGAACACAUCACUAAUACACCAAAAGAAUUCAUACACCGAUGAAAUUCAUCAUUUAAUACACAAAUAGAAUUUAUCAAUAAUCCACGUCAAUGACACUUCAUCAAUAAACUCACAAAUAAAGUUUAUCAAUUAAAUACAUUAACCAACACAUCAAUUUAGUUUCAUUCAUAUAUUCAUCACCAUUAUCUUUUCGAAGAUUAGAUAAAAUAAUUUAGCUAAUCCUAACUCCACUCAACUACAUUCUCUCUAUUUCCCANNNNNNNNNNNNNNNNNNNNNNNNNNNNNNNNNNNNNNNCUUUACUAGAUUCGUUUUAAUUCGAAAACAACUUCUCCUAAUUAAUCACUAAGUUUUAUCAUGAAAAGUAGUGAUUUAAACUCUCCUAAACUCACCUAAUAAUUAGGAUUAAUUCGUAUAAAGAUUAGGGAUAAAAAGGGAUCGGAAAAAUAGACCUAACAUCACAGAACAACGCAAACCAGAGUUGCAGGACUGCGAUUUGCGCAUGAGGCGCAAAAGACAGCAUCCACCUGCAGAAUUUUGCAGGUUUUGACCUGCUCACCGCGCAGACCAUAAGUUGAGCUACGUAUAUCGGAUUUCAACGCGUAAACAUGCGUUGGAAAGCUAAGGGAAAGAACUACAACUUUUAUGUUGACCUCAAAAACCAGUUCAGAACGCAAAAGGGUCAAAUUGUCACGUUUUUGCUGCAGACUUUAUC
rnacentral:lncRNA from 1 species